rnacentral:pre_miRNA from 13 species
CCCCCAUGGCCCCAGAAAUCAAGGGUGGGUAAGACCUCGUAAGCAAACUGGAAGGCGACCCAUACUUGGUUUCAGGGGCUGUGUGGC